UACGUAGGUGGCAAGCGUUGUCCGGAUUUAUUGGGCGUAAAGGGAGCGCAGGCGGUGACUUAAGUCUGAUGUGAAAGCCCACGGCUCAACCGUGGAAGGUCAUUGGAAACUGGGUCACUUGAAUAUAGAAGAGGAAAGUGGAAUUCCAUGUGUAGCGGUGAAAUGCGUAGAUAUAUGGAGGAACACCAGUGGCGAAGGCGACUUUCUGGUCUAUUAUUGACGCUGAGGCUCGAAAGCAUGGGUAGCAAACAGGAUUAGAUACCCGU
rnacentral:rRNA from 1 species